CGGACGGGUGAGUAAUGUCUGGGAAACUGCCUGAUGGAGGGGGAUAACUACUGGAAACGGUAGCUAAUACCGCAUAACGUCGCAAGACCAAAGAGGGGGACCUUGGGCCUCUUGCCAUCGGAUGUGCCCAGAUGGGAUUAGUUAGUAGGUGGGGUAAUGGCUCACCUAGGCGACGAUCCCUAGCUGGUCUGAGAGGAUGACCAGCCACACUGGAACUGAGACACGGUCCAG
rnacentral:rRNA from 1 species